rnacentral:rRNA from 1 species
CGUGAGAUGUUGGGUUAAGUCCCGCAACGAGCGCAACCCCUAUCUUAUGUUGCCAGCACGUAAUGGUGGGAACUCAUGAGAGACUGCCGCAGACAAUGCGGAGGAAGGCGGGGAUGACGUCAAAUCAUCAUGCCCCUUAUGACCUGGGCUACACACGUACUACAAUGGGAGUUAAUAGACGGAAGCGAGAUCGCGAGAUGGAGCAAACCCGAGAAACACUCUCUCAGUUCGGAUCGUAGGCUGCAACUCGCCUACG